CUCCUAGCGACCAAACAUCUGAAAAGCCGAACAGAAACAGAUUGCACGAAUUUAUUUAAAAAGCCUCGAUCUGGAGAUGACAAAAAAAAAAAAGGAAAGUGGAAACAUGGGUUUCUUCAAUCAGAUCAUUAUAUAAAUACAUAAGUUUUAUUGCUGAAGAUGACUUUCAUCUUCCAGUAAGUGUUAAAUUACAAUCGUGAUCAUACUGUAAUAUACCAAUCGACAAGUUUCUAUCUUUUACACGCUAUCUACAAUAAUUGGAGGGGUUUAUUGCAAUAACUCUAUUGCUCAAUAAGAUACUCUGAGCUUCAAACGUUCCAAUAUGAUGAUAUAGUAUACCCUGUUCAAAUCAAUUGGCCACUCAAGGCCACUUCCCCAGCUGUACAACGAUAUCACAAGCGAUCCAUAAGAAAACUGCACUCUACUUUGUUGUUUUCAAAAAUUAUUCAUACAAAAAGGAGCCUACUCUGAAUUUCAAAUAAUACGUACUCGUAAAUAUCAAGAAGAUUUCUUCAAACGUAUGAUUCACGAAUUCUGAACAUUUAAGUCUUUAUUAUUUUAGAGAAUCAACGUGCUAUAAAGGUUAAAUUUAAUAUUUAGUCAUAUCUAGUAUAAAUAAUAAUCAGAUAUAGUAUUUCUUUAUUUAUUUAUUCAUCUUGCCAGUUCUAGGUUUAACUCUAUCUUUAGACUUCCAGUACUUUAAGUUAAAUAUUUAUCAAGGAAAUUUCAUAUAUAGAUCAUGUAACUUUGGCGUACCAUUAGUUGAGAACCAUUGCUAUAAAGUUUAAUCAAGGAGAAUCGAUGAGAAAACAAACAAGCUCUCCAUUUAAUCGUACUUACCGACAGCAGGAGCAUCGUAACUAUCGCCGAGCAGGAUUUCCGGCGCAGAGUACGCCAGAGAGCCGCAGGAAGUCUCGAGCUUCUGACCCGGACAGAACCUAUUGCUAAAUCCAAAGUCGGUGAGCUUCACGGUGCCGAGUUUCUCGAAGAACACCACAUUCUCUGGUUUCAGGUCCCUGUGCACCACGUGCAAUCGAUGGCAAUACGAUAUGGCUCUGACUAUUUGCCGAAAGUACGUUCUGGCCACCUGCGAUCGAUCAAAAGCCUAUCAGUGAACCUUGGACAAAGAGGAAGUAAAAAAUAUAUUAAUGGCGAAUUUUUGUAAAAAGUAGAAGAGGACUCCUUGGGCUCCAUAUUAGGGUGCUCAAAAAUUUUCAAAAACAAUCAAAACUUAAGUAUCUACAUUUAUAAAAAAAUUCUUAACGACAAAUUUAUUGCAGCCUUAUAUUUAUAUGUAUACAUAUUUCAACUAUUUUUAGAUAGGGUCGAAAAUAUAUUUUCACCUAGAAAAACCACAUUGAAAGACUCCACUACUGUCUCUUAAACUUUGCUUAAACAAUCGAUUAGUUAAUUUUUCUAGUCUAUUUUUGCAACAUUGAUCGUAUCAAUGGAAGUGGAUCGAUUACCUAACUACUGAAAGAACUCUCGUAACUGCACUCUACUUAUGAAUUGAAAUACUAUGCAGAAUGCGUAAUAAUGGUUUAUUAGUCAGUGUAUGAUUCAACUUUCGAUCGUUCAAUGAAUAAUGAAGUAAUCUUUCGAACUAGUCGUAAGUGACUAAUGAUUCCGAUCGAUGUUACAAUUGAUAAUAUAGCUAAUGAUACAAUUAACGGUAAAGUGUUAAAGAGGUGUGAACGACAGUAUUAUCCAGAGGCGAAGGACAUUUCAUAAUACCUGAGAAUUUAAUAAACCAAUUAAUAUCUAUCAAUAAGAAUUCAAUAAACUUUCUGAAUGAUUUUAGAAUAAUUUUCCAGAGGAUUGUUUGUAUAUUUUUAUUAGGAAUAAUUUUAAUAGUGAAAAAAUUGUCAAAAUUUAUGAAAAAUUCCUCACUCGUAUAGAACACUGAAUGCAUUUUUUUACAAUUAAUAUUCGUUUAUGAACAUAUAUUAAAAUUUUUGUUCAAUCUUUUUGAAACGCUCUGUAUAUCAUAUAUAGAAAUACCUCU